GACGAACGCUGGCGGCGUGCUUAACACAUGCAAGUCGAGCGAUGAAGCUCCUUCGGGAGUGGAUUAGCGGCGGACGGGUGAGUAACACGUGGGCAACCUGCCUUAUAGAGAGGAUUAGCCAUCCGAAAGGAUGAUUAAUACCUCAUACUAUUGUAGUUUCGCAUGAAGCAACAAUCAAAGGAGCAAUCCACUAUAAGAUGGGCCCGCGGCGCAUUAGCUAGUUGGUGAGGUAACGGCUCACCAAGGCGACGAUGCGUAGCCGACCUGAGAGGGUGAUCGGCCACAUUGGGACUGAGACACGGCCCAGACUCCUACGGGAGGCAGCAGUGGGGAAUAUUGCACAAUGGGGGAAACCCUGAUGCAGCAACGCCGCGUGAGUGAUGACGGCCUUCGGGUUGUAAAGCUCUGUCUUCAGGGACGAUAAUGACGGUACCUGAGGAGGAAGCCACGGCUAACUACGUGCCAGCAGCCGCAGUAACAC
rnacentral:rRNA from 1 species